GAUGAACGCUGGCGGCGUGCUUAACACAUGCAAGUCGAACGGAAAGGCUCCUGCUUGCAGGGGUACUCGAGUGGCGAACGGGUGAGUAACACGUGGGUGAUCUGCCCUGCACUUCGGGAUAAGCCUGGGAAACUGGGUCUAAUACCGGAUAGGACGAUGGUUUGGAUGCCAUUGUGGAAAGUUUUUCGGUGUGGGAUGAGCUCGCGGCCUAUCAGCUUGUUGGUGGGGUAAUGGCCUACCAAGGCGUCGACGGGUAGCCGGCCUGAGAGGGUGUACGGCCACAUUGGGACUGAGAUACGGCCCAGACUCCUACGGGAGGCAGCAGUGGGGAAUAUUGCACAAUGGGCGCAAGCCUGAUGCAGCGACGCCGCGUGGGGGAUGACGGCCUUCGGGUUGUAAACUCCUUUCGCUAGGGACGAAGCGCAAGUGACGGUACCGGGAGAAGAAGCACCGGCUAACUACGU
rnacentral:rRNA from 1 species